rnacentral:rRNA from 1 species
AUACGUAGGGGGCUAGCGUUAUCCGGAAUUACUGGGCGUAAAGGGUGCGUAGGCGGUCUUUCAAGUCAGAAGUGAAAGGCUACGGCUCAACCGUAGUAAGCUUUUGAAACUGUAAGACUUGAGUGCAGGAGAGGAGAGUGGAAUUCCUAGUGUAGCGGUGAAAUGCGUAGAUAUUAGGAGGAACACCAGUUGCGAAGGCGGCUCUCUGGACUGUAACUGACGCUGAGGCACGAAAGCGUGGGGAGCAAACAGGAUUAGAUACCCUGGUAGUCCACGCCGUAAACGAUGAGUACUAGCUGUCGGAGGUUACCCCCUUCGGUGGCGCAGCUAACGCAUUAAGUACUCCGCCUGGGAAGUACGCUCGCAAGAGUGAA